UACGAAGGGUGCAAACGUUGCUCGGAAUUAUUGGGCGUAAAGCGCACGUAGGCGGCUUUGCAAGUCGGAUGUGAAAUCCCUCGGCUUAACCAAGGAAGUGCAUCCGAAACUGCAGAGCUUGAGUACUGUAGAGGAAGGUGGAAUUUCCGGAGUAGCAGUGAAAUGCGUAGAUAUCGGAAGGAACAUCAGUGGCGAAGGCGACUUUCUGGACAGAUACUGACACUGAGGCACGAAAGCGUGGGGAGCGAACAGG
rnacentral:rRNA from 1 species